rnacentral:rRNA from 1 species
CGGGGGGAGCAAGCGUUGUUCGGAUUUACUGGGCGUAAAGGGCGCGUAGGCGGCCACCGCAAGUCGACUGUGAAAUCUCCGGGCUUAACCCGGAAAGGUCAGCCGAUACUGCGGGGCUAGAGUGCAGAAGGGGCAACUGGAAUUCUCGGUGUAGCGGUGAAAUGCGUAGAUAUCGAGAGGAACACCUGCGGCGAAGGCGGGUUGCUGGGCUGACACUGACGCUGAGGCGCGAAAGCUAGGGGAGCGAACGGGAUUAGAUACCCCGGUAGUCCUAGCCUUAAACGAUGAAUGCUUGGUGUCUGGGGUUUUAUAGUCCCCGGGUGCCGUCGCUAACGCUUUAAGCAUUCCGCCUGGGGGAGUACGGUCGCAAGACUG